rnacentral:rRNA from 2 species
AGAGUUUGAUCCUGGCUCAGGAUGAACGCUGGCGGCGUGCUUAACACAUGCAAGUCGAACGGGAUCCUUGGCAGCUUGCUGCCGGGGUGAGAGUGGCGAACGGGUGAGUAAUGCGUGACCGACCUGCCCCAUGCACCGGAAUAGCUCCUGGAAACGGGUGGUAAUGCCGGAUGUUCCACAUGAGCGCAUGCGAGUGUGGGAAAGGCUUUUUGCGGCAUGGGAUGGGGUCGCGUCCUAUCAGCUUGUUGGUGGGGUAACGGCCUACCAAGGCGUUGACGGGUAGCCGGCCUGAGAGGGCGACCGGCCACAUUGGGACUGAGAUACGGCCCAGACUCCUACGGGAGGCAGCAGUGGGGAAUAUUGCACAAUGGGCGCAAGCCUGAUGCAGCGACGCCGCGUGCGGGAUGGAGGCCUUCGGGUUGUAAACCGCUUUUGUUCAAGGGCAAGGCACGGUUUCGGCCGUGUUGAGUGGAUUGUUCGAAUAAGCACCGGCUAACUACGUGCCAGCAGCCGCGGUAAUACGUAGGGUGCAAGCGUUAUCCGGAUUUAUUGGGCGUAAAGGGCUCGUAGGCGGUUCGUCGCGUCCGGUGUGAAAGUCCAUCGCUUAACGGUGGAUCCGCGCCGGGUACGGGCGGGCUUGAGUGCGGUAGGGGAGACUGGAAUUCCCGGUGUAACGGUGGAAUGUGUAGAUAUCGGGAAGAACACCAAUGGCGAAGGCAGGUCUCUGGGCCGUUACUGACGCUGAGGAGCGA